rnacentral:misc_RNA from 1 species
AUUGCUGCAGCAAUAAUAUACAUGAUCACUCAACUUUCAGAUUCAAAGAAACCUGUUCUGCGAGCAGAUAUCUCAGUUGCAACCACUGUUGCAGAAGGGACAAUCAAGAACGCGUACAAGGAUCUUUAUCCUCAUGCUUCCAAAAUAAUUCCAGAAUGGUACGUGAAAGACAAGGACCUUAAGAGCCUGUGCAGUCCAAAGGCAUAAGAGUACCUUAGUCGUUGAGCUCUAUAAAUCUGCUAUAGGGCCUCAAGUCUGUAAGAAUUAUUCGAACAGAGAAAACAUCAGACGCGGAGUUUUGGCUACCCUGUGUUCUGGAUUCACAAGGCACCGUAGGUCAUUUAGACCAGAGUAAUCCAUAUUAUUUUCUUUUUCAUUUAUCUCUUCCCCUUCCCUAAAACACAAAUAGGUU